rnacentral:rRNA from 1 species
UACAGGGGGUGCAAACGUUGCUCGGAAUUACUGGGCGUAAAGCGCACGUAGGCGGACUCUUAAGUCGGUGGUGAAAUCCUGGAGCUCAACUCCAGAACUGCCUUCGAUACUGGGAGUCUCGAGUUCGGGAGAGGUGAGUGGAACUGCGAGUGUAGAGGUGAAAUUCGUAGAUAUUCGCAAGAACACCAGUGGCGAAGGCGGCUCACUGGCCCGAUACUGACGCUGAGGUGCGAAAGCGUGGGGAGCAAACAGG